UUAUUCGUGGCUAUGGAUUUAGGGGAAAAAAAUUGUUUUUGAUUCUGAGAAAAAACGCUUGUGUUUCACCCUCAGCUGCCACUAUAUGUACUGCUAAAAUUGAAAGAAAAGAAUUGUUUUCGACUUGUCGUGAAAGAAAUAGAUUGUUUUUCCCCGCAGACGAAAAAAAAGUUUGUCCAGAAAAAAAAUCCAUAGACCACCCCCCUCCAGAAAAUCAAAUGGUUGCUGCCUAAUCAUAUUAAAUCAUAUUUUAAUUAUCAAC
rnacentral:lncRNA from 1 species